CGGAUGUGGCGAAAUUGGUAUACGCGCUGGGUUUAGACUCCAGUAACUUAUGUUGUGAGGGUUCAA
rnacentral:tRNA from 1 species